rnacentral:rRNA from 1 species
AAUCAACGCUGGCGGCGUGCCUCAGACAUGCAAGUCGAACGAUUAAAGCUCCCUUCGGGGAGUGCAUAAAGUGGCGCACGGGUGAGUAACACGUAAGUAAUCUACCCUCGAGUGGGGAAUAACAACCGGAAACGGUUGCUAAUACCGCAUAAUGCAGCGGCACCGCAAGGUGACAGUUGUUAAAGGAGUAAUUCGCUUGAGGAGGAGCUUGCGGCAGAUUAGCCUGUGGUAAGGUAACGGCUUACCAAGGCUACGAUCUGUAUCCGGUCUAAGAGGACGGUCGGACACACUGACACUGAAUAACGGGUCAGACUCCUACGGGAGGCAGCAGUCGGGAAUUUUGGGCAAUGGGCGAAAGCCUGACCCAGCAACGCCGCGUGAAGGAUGAAGUAUUUCGGUAUGUAAACUUCGAAAGAAUAGGAAGAAUAAAUGACGGUACUAUUUAUAAGCUCCGGCUAACUACGUGCC